rnacentral:rRNA from 1 species
CGAGGGGGCGAGCGUUGUUCGGAAUCACUGGGCGUAAAGAGUGCGUAGGCGGUUAUGAAAGUUAGGAGUGAAAGCCCCAGGCUCAACUUGGGAAUUGCUCUUAAAACUACAUGACUCGAAUUCGGGAGAGGAUAGCGGAAUUCUCAGUGUAGCAGUGAAAUGCGUAGAUAUUGAGAGGAACACCGGUGGCGUAAGCGGCUAUCUGGACCGACAUUGACGCUGAGGCACGAAAGCGUGGGGAUCAAACAGGAUUAGAUACCCUGGUAGUCCACGCCGUAAACGAUGUGUGUUUGUCGCUGGGGAGUUUACUCUUCGGUGACGGAGCUAACGCGUUAAGCACACCGCCUGGGAAGUACGGUCGCAAGAUUA